rnacentral:lncRNA from 1 species
CUGAGACAUUGACAGUAGCCAUUGUGAUGUAGUACAGGUAUGCUGACACAGACGCUGACAGAUGCCAUUGGAGUUCUUCCCCUGGGCUAUUAGCUCAGGGGUCUGCCGACACCCACUGGAGCACAGAUUUAAUCCAACUCAGUCAUGGCAGGCAGCCCAUCCUAGGGACUGGUCCCACCCAACAGCAAGCCCUCAGGCUACUUGUUGGCCUGCAUAGACUGGGUGCCUCAAUCCUCUGCAAGCAGACGUGGCAAUAAUCACAGAAGCGAGGUGCAGAGGCCUUCAGAGGCACACGUGAUCCAGGGGGCCAUGGACCCUGCCCGGCCCACUUCCUCAUUUUGUUUCCUGCUAGACCCUGGAAGGCACGUUUGAGGAAUAGCUGGCCAAAUUACUCCACCAAAGUAGCAAUAAUUCUAUCCAGAUAUUCUUGUCUGCAAAGGAGCCAAUAAGACUCAAGGAGAACCCCAGCGAAGAACCUAAGAUGGAUAGAGGGAAAGUUUUUCCUCCUCUACAAACACAACGUCUGAGCAAUCAUUCCCUGAAGUCCAAGUUACACUGACUCAAGGGGGAGAAAACAACACAAAGAGGAUUAACUAGCUCACCGAGAGUUACACGGGAUAACAGGAAGAAUGUGGAUAACAAGCCCGUACCCGAACCAUUGCCUGGAGCAGAGGAAUUCCUCAUCGGCUCGGACCUGCUCAAAUGAACCAAUCACUAGAGCACAGGAGAGGGAAUUACCAACCCUGGAAAACCACUUUCUAUCCAUAAACUGCACAAAUGAGCCAUUGGAAGAGUUUUAUUUCCUGACAUCAAGUUCCUUAACGACAGAAAAGAGGAGCAGCAGGUGUUUCUCACCAGAUGCCUUUGUGACGGAAACAGACAGAGUUCACUGGGUAUUUUUGUUCAGAGCCAAAAUAGC